GAUGAACGCUGGCGGCGUGCCUAAUACAUGCAAGUCGAGCGAACAGACGAGGAGCUUGCUCCUCUGACGUUAGCGGCGGACGGGUGAGUAACACGUGGAUAACCUACCUAUAAGACUGGGAUAACUUCGGGAAACCGGAGCUAAUACCGGAUAAUAUAUUGAACCGCAUGGUUCAAUAGUGAAAGACGGUUUUGCUGUCUCUUAUAGAUGGAUCCGCGCCGCAUUAGCUAGUUGGUAAGGUAACGGCUUACCAAGGCGACGAUGCGUAGCCGACCUGAGAGGGUGAUCGGCCACACUGGAACUGAGACACGGUCCAGACGCCUACGGGAGGCAGCAGUAGGGAAUCUUCCGAAAUGGGCGAAAGCCUGACGGAGCAACGCCGCGUGAGUGAUGAAGGUCUUCGGAUCGUAAAACUCUGUUAUUAGGGAAGAACAAAUGUGUAAGUAACUAUGCACGUCUUGACGGUACCUAAUCAGAAAGCCACGGCUAACUACGUG
rnacentral:rRNA from 1 species